rnacentral:rRNA from 1 species
GCGAAUACCGGAGAAUGUUAUCACGGGAGACACACGGCGGGUGCUAACGUCCGUCGUGAAGAGGGAAACAACCCAGACCGCCAGCUAAGGUCCCAAAGUCAUGGUUAAGUGGGAAACGAUGUGGGAAGGCCCAGACAGCCAGGAUGUUGGCUUAGAAGCAGCCAUCAUUUAAAGAAAGCGUAAUAGCUCACUGGUCGAGUCGGCCUGCGCGGAAGAUGUAACGGGGCUAAACCAUGCACCGAAGCUGCGGCAGCGAACGUAUCACUUAAAGUGAUUCAGCGGGUUACGAUUGACGGAGCGAAGCGACGUCAAAGCGUAUACAAAGUCGAGUCGGUUUAAGGAUACGUUCGUUGGGUAGGGGAGCGUUCUGUAAGCCUGUGAAGGUGUGUCGUGAGGCAUGCUGGAGGUAUCAGAAGUGCGAAUGCUGACAUAAGUAACGAUAAAGCGGGUGAAAAGCCCGCUCGCCGGAAGACCAAGGGUUCCUGUCCAACGUUAAUCGGGGCAGGGUGAGUCGACCCCUAAGGCGAGGCCGAAAGGCGUAGUCGAUGGGAAACGGGUUAAUAUUCCCGUACUUGGUGUUACUGCGAAGGGGGGACGGAGAAGGCUAUGUUGGCCGGGCGACGGUUGUCCCGGUUUAAGCGUGUAGGUGUGUGUUCCAGGUAAAUCCGGUUCACUUUAACACUGAGGCGUGAUGACGAGGCACUACGGUGCUGAAGCAACAAAUGCCCUGCUUCCAGGAAAAGCCUCUAAGCAUCAGGUAACAUCAAAUCGUACCCCAAACCGACACAGGUGGUCAGGUAGAGAAUACCAAGGCGCUUGAGAGAACUCGGGUGAAGGAACUAGGCAAAAUGGUGCCGUAACUUCGGGAGAAGGCACGCUGACACGUAGGUGAAGUGAUUUACUCACGGAGCUGAAGUCAGUCGAAGAUACCAGCUGGCUGCAACUGUUUAUUAAAAACACAGCACUGUGCAAACACGAAAGUGGACGUAUACGGUGUGACGCCUGCCCGGUGCCGGAAGGUUAAUUGAUGGGGUCAGCGCAAGCGAAGCUCCUGAUCGAAGCCCCGGUAAACGGCGGCCGUAACUAUAACGGUCCUAAGGUAGCGAAAUUCCUUGUCGGGUAAGUUCCGACCUGCACGAAUGGCGUAAUGAUGGCCAGGCUGUCUCCACCCGAGACUCAGUGAAAUUGAACUCGCUGUGAAGAUGCAGUGUACCCGCGGCAAGACGGAAAGACCCCGUGAACCUUUACUAUAGCUUGACACUGAACAUUGAGCCUUGAUGUGUAGGAUAGGUGGGAGGCUUUGAAGUGUGGACGCCAGUCUGCAUGGAGCCGACCUUGAAAUACCACCCUUUAAUGUUUGAUGUUCUAACGUGGACCCGUGAUCCGGGUUGCGGACAGUGUCUGGUGGGUAGUUUGACUGGGGCGGUCUCCUCCUAAAGAGUAACGGAGGAGCACGAAGGUUGGCUAAUCCUGGUCGGACAUCAGGAGGUUAGUGCAAUGGCAUAAGCCAGCUUGACUGCGAGCGUGACGGCGCGAGCAGGUGCGAAAGCAGGUCAUAGUGAUCCGGUGGUUCUGAAUGGAAGGGCCAUCGCUCAACGGAUAAAAGGUACUCCGGGGAUAACAGGCUGAUACCGCCCAAGAGUUCAUAUCGACGGCGGUGUUUGGCACCUCGAUGUCGGCUCAUCACAUCCUGGGGCUGAAGUAGGUCCCAAGGGUAUGGCUGUUCGCCAUUUAAAGUGGUACGCGAGCUGGGUUUAGAACGUCGUGAGACAGUUCGGUCCCUAUCUGCCGUGGGCGCUGGAGAACUGAGGGGGGCUGCUCCUAGUACGAGAGGACCGGAGUGGACGCAUCACUGGUGUUCGGGUUGUCAUGCCAAUGGCACUGCCCGGUAGCUAAAUGCGGAAGAGAUAAGUGCUGAAAGCAUCUAAGCACGAAACUUGCCCCGAGAUGAGUUCUCCCUGAGACUUUAGGUCUCCUGAAGGAACGUUGAAGACGACGACGUUGAUAGGCCGGGUGUGUAAGCGCAGCGAUGCGUUGAGCUAACC